UGCCUUGUUCGGAUUGUCAGACCUCCCACUCUCUGGAUGUCAGAAACUGCAAGGUAGCAACAGCAGAGGAGGGCAGGGGAGGGCAGAACAGAGAGGGUCUUUUCGUUGAGCUCAUUCUGGACCUCUCAGCCUUGUAGACCUAUGCCAUUGUAGUGAGGUGAGAACAGCUUGACAUGAGCCUUCUGAAAAUCAUGCUGGAACAGCAUCCGUCAGCUUUGCUGUUCACAGGUGAUGAUCCUGAGCAAGCUGGGUUACAGCACCAGAGCCCUUUAUGGGCUGGUGACUGUAAAUCUGAGCUCUCCCAGAGCCACCUGUAUUUCCUCCAGUCCCCACUUCAUUUACCCCAUAAACUUCUUCAAGUUUGCCUGUUCCUGGAUUUCUGGAGAGG